rnacentral:rRNA from 1 species
CGGGCUUAACACAUGCAAGUCGAGGGGCAGCAUGGUCUUAGCUUGCUAAGACUGAUGGCGACCGGCGCACGGGUGAGUAACACGUAUCCAACCUGCCGUCUACUCUUGGACAGCCUUCUGAAAGGAAGAUUAAUACAAGAUGGCAUCAUGAGUCCGCAUGUUCACAUGAUUAAAGGUAUUCCGGUAGACGAUGGGGAUGCGUUCCAUUAGAUAGUAGGCGGGGUAACGGCCCACCUAGUCUUCGAUGGAUAGGGGUUCUGAGAGGAAGGUCCCCCACAUUGGAACUGAGACACGGUCCAAACUCCUACGGGAGGCAGCAGUGAGGAAUAUUGGUCAAUGGGCGAGAGCCUGAACCAGCCAAGUAGCGUGAAGGAUGACUGCCCUAUGGGUUGUAAACUUCUUUUAUAAAGGAAUAAAGUCGGGUAUGCAUACCCGUUUGCAUGUACUUUAUGAAUAAGGAUCGGCUAACUCCGUGCCAGCAGCCGCGGUAAUACGGAGGAUCCGAGCGUUAUCCGGAUUUAUUGGGUUUAAAGGGAGCGUAGAUGGAUGUUUAAGUCAGUUGUGAAAGUUUGCGGCUCAACCGUAAAAUUGCAGUUGAUACUGGAUAUCUUGAGUGCAGUUGAGGCAGGCGGAAUUCGUGGUGUAGCGGUGAAAUGCUUAGAUAUCACGAAGAACUCCGAUUGCGAAGGCAGCCUGCUAAGCUGCAACUGACAUUGAGGCUCGAAAGUGUGGGUAUCAAACAGGAUUAGAUACCCUGGUAGUCCACACGGUAAACGAUGAAUACUCGCUGUUUGCGAUAUACAGCAAGCGGCCAAGCGAAAGCGUUAAGUAUUCCACCUGGGGAGUACGCCGGCAACGGUGAAACUCAAAGGAAUUGACGGGGGCCCGCACAAGCGGAGGAACAUGUGGUUUAAUUCGAUGAUACGCGAGGAACCUUACCCGGGCUUAAAUUGCAGAUGAAUUACGGUGAAAGCCGUAAGCCGCAAGGCAUCUGUGAAGGUGCUGCAUGGUUGUCGUCAGCUCGUGCCGUGAGGUGUCGGCUUAAGUGCCAUAACGAGCGCAACCCUUGUUGUCAGUUACUAACAGGUUCCGCUGAGGACUCUGACAAGACUGCCAUCGUAAGAUGUGAGGAAGGUGGGGAUGACGUCAAAUCAGCACGGCCCUUACGUCCGGGGCUACACACGUGUUACAAUGGGGGGUACAGAGGGCCGCUACCACGCGAGUGGAUGCCAAUCCCCAAAACCUCUCUCAGUUCGGACUGGAGUCUGCAACCCGACUCCACGAAGCUGGAUUCGCUAGUAAUCGCGCAUCAGCCACGGCGCGGUGAAUACGUUCCCGGGCCUUGUACACACCGCCCGUCAAGCCAUGGGAGCCGGGGGUACCUGAAGUGCGUAACCGCGAGGAGCGCCCUAGGGUAAAACUGGUGACUGGGGC